GACAGAGGGGGCAAGCGUUGCUCGGAAUUACUGGGCGUAAAGGGCGCGUAGGCGGGAUGGCAAGUCGGUCGUGAAAUCCCUCGGCUCAACUGAGGAUCGUCGAUCGAUACUGCCGUUCUUGAGGAUUGCAGAGGAGACUGGAAUUCCCGGUGUAGCGGUGAAAUGGGUAGAUCGGGAGGAACACCGGUGGCGAAGGCGGGUCUCUGGGCAAUUCCUGACGCUGAGUGAGCGAAAGCCAGGGGAGCAAACGGG
rnacentral:rRNA from 1 species